rnacentral:rRNA from 1 species
CCAGCGGACCGACGGGAGCUUGCUCCCUUAGGUCAGCGGCGGACGGGUGAGUAACACGUGGGUAACCUGCCUGUAAGACUGGGAUAACUCCGGGAAACCGGGGCUAAUACCGGAUGCUUGAUUGAACCGCAUGGUUCUUUCAUAAAAGGCGGCUUCAGGUGCCAUUUACAGAUGGACCCACGGCGCAAUAGCUAGUUGGUAAGGUAACGGCUCACCAAGGCGACGAUGCGUAGCGGACCUGAGAGGGUGAUCGGCCACACUGGGACUGAGACACGGCCCAGACUCCUACGGGAGGCAGCAGUAGGGAAUCUUCCGCAAUGGACGAAAGUCUGACGGAGCAACGCCGCGUGAGUGAUGAAGGUUUUCGGAUCGUAAAGCUCUGUUGUUAGGGAAGAACAAGUACCGUUCGAAUAGGGCGGUACCUUGACGGUACCUAACCAGAAAGCCACGGCUAACUACGUGCCAGCAGCCGCGGUAAUACGUAGGUGGCAAGCGUUGUCCGGAAUUAUUGGGCGUAAAGCGCGCGCAGGCGGUUUCUUAAGUCUGAUGUGAAAGCCCCCGGCUCAACCGGGGAGGGUCAUUGGAAACUGGGGAACUUGAGUG